UGGAGCUGAAGUCAGUCGAAGAUACCAGCUGGCUGCAACUGUUUAUUAAAAACACAGCACUGUGCAAACACGAAAGUGGACGUAUACGGUGUGACGCCUGCCCGGUGCCGGAAGGUUAAUUGAUGGGGUCAGCGCAAGCGAAGCUCCUGAUCGAAGCCCCGGUAAACGGCGGCCGUAACUAUAACGGUCCUAAGGUAGCGAAAUUCCUUGUCGGGUAAGUUCCGACCUGCACGAAUGGCGUAAUGAUGGCCAGGCUGUCUCCACCCGGGACUCAGUGAAAUUGAACUCGCUGUGAAGAUGCAGUGUACCCGCGGCAAGACGGAAAGACCCCGUGAACCUUUACUAUAGCUUGACACUGAACACUGGUCCUUGAUGUGCAGGAUAGGUGGGAGGCUUUGAAGUGUGGACGCCAGUCUGCAUGGAGCCGACCUUGAAAUACCACCCUUUAAUGGCUGGUGUUCUAACGUGGGCCCCUGACCGGGGUUGCGGACAGUGUCUGGUGGGUAGUUUGACUGGGGCGGUCUCCUCCUAAAGAGUAACGGAGGAGCACGAAGGUUGGCUAAUCCUGGUCGGACAUCAGGAGGUUAGUGCAAUGGCAUAAGCCAGCUUGACUGCGAGCGUGACGGCGCGAGCAGGUGCGAAAGCAGGUCAUAGUGAUCCGGUGGUUCUGAAUGGAAGGGCCAUCGCUCAACGGAUAAAAGGUACUCCGGGGAUAACAGGCUGAUACCGCCCAAGAGUUCAUAUCGACGGCGGUGUUUGGCACCUCGAUGUCGGCUCAUCACAUCCUGGGGCUGAAGUAGGUCCCAAGGGUAUGGCUGUUCGCCAUUUAAAGUGGUACGCGAGCUGGGUUUAGAACGUCGUGAGACAGUUCGGUCCCUAUCUGCCGUGGGCGCUGGAAGAUUGAGGGGGGCUGCUCCUAGUACGAGAGGACCGGAGUGGACGCAUCACUGGUGUUCGGGUUGUCAUGCCAAUGGCACUGCCCGGUAGCUACAUGCGGAAGAGAUAAGUGCUGAAAGCAUCUAAGCACGAAACUUGCCCCGAGAUGAAUCUUCCCUGAGCCUUUAAGGCUCCUGAAGGAACGUUGAAGACGACGACGUUGAUAGGCCGGGUGUGUAAGCGCAGCGAUGCGUUGAGCUAACCGGUACUAAUGAACCGUGAGGCUUAACCUUACAACGCCGAAG
rnacentral:rRNA from 1 species